GACGAACGCUGGCGGCGUGCCUAAUACAUGCAAGUAGAACGCACAGUUUAUACCGUAGCUUGCUACACCAUAAACUGUGAGUUGCGAACGGGUGAGUAACGCGUAGGUAACCUGCCUGGUAGCGGGGGAUAACUAUUGGAAACGAUAGCUAAUACCGCAUAAUAUUGAUUAUUGCAUGAUAAUUGAUUGAAAGAUGCUAUUGCAUCACUACCAGAUGGACCUGCGUUGUAUUAGCUAGUAGGUGAGGUAACGGCUCACCUAGGCGACGAUACAUAGCCGACCUGAGAGGGUGAUCGGCCACACUAGGACUGAGACACGGCCCAGACUCCUACGGGAGGCAGCAGUAGGGAAUCUUCGGCAAUGGACGAAAGUCUGACCGAGCAACGCCGCGUGAGUGAAGAAGGUUUUCGGAUCGUAAAGCUCUGUUGUAAGAGAAGAACGGGUGUGAGAGUGGAAAGUUCACACUGUGACGGUAUCUUACCAGAAAGGGACGGCUAACUACGUG
rnacentral:rRNA from 1 species